CUAUAUCGCGCUGUCCAGCUAUCUCUCUCAGUCUCAUCUCCCUCUUCCCCUUUCUAGAUAGACGCUCCUUCCUCUCCCGAUCGGGAUCGACGCCCCUGCUCCUCCGUCCAACCACACAGCAUCUCCUCCACCUCCUCCCUUUGGGUGAGAAGAGGAGCCCUUCUUCGCAUUUCGAGAAAGAAGAGGUGACGAGUUGGUUUUGCUUUCUAGGGUUUUGUUAUCGUCGGAUCUCAGAGUAGUUGCAGCGGAGGGAGGCAAGAUGAAGACAACCAAAGGAGGAAAGGUGAUGAACCCCACCGAUGCCUACCGAAAUGAGAUACGGAAGGAGGUCAAACAGUUAAGAAACACGAACUCUUUGGUUCCAUUUCCGCUAGUUCAUUCUCAACCUCAGGGGCUCCCUUCCUUUUAGUGCCAUCGGAUCUAGCUUAUCCUUUCCGAAGUUUUACUUUGUGUUUUUUUGUGUCUUUGUUGUGUCAGAUUUUUUUUCUGCUUUAUGGAUGAUGGUGUUGUCUGAUAAGAUGUUUAAUUUUUUUUGUGGACCAUUGCGCUAGUGGAGACGAUUCUUCAUUUGUAAAGAGGGUAACGAAGUGGUUAUAAAAUGAGAGAUUAUAAAAUUGCUGUUUAUGGCACGAUGGACUCGGUUGCCGAUCCUAUCCAAAUAAUUCAAGGCUUUCCAUGGACGAAAGAGUGGAGAAGAGUGCGUCUUUUCUCCUCUUUUUUCCCAUUUGUUUCCUUCUAAUUUCGGUGGGUUUGGAUGCUACAUAAAUUAGGGUUCUUGUUCUCGUCAACGAGGUCUGAAAAUCCAGGAUAUCGAGGUUUUGGCUGCGGAAUUUGGCCAGAUGUGGGGGGAGAGAGGGUGGUUCUACUGGGGAAGGUCGGAGCGAGAAGCGCGGAGAGAAGCAAAGGGAAUCGCCGUGCUCUUCUCAUGGCUCUUGAGCCAGGAGAGCGAUCUGAAGCCUUUCGUCGAUCUGUACUGUUCUCUCGGCUGGAGUCCCCUUGUCUGUUAUGUCGACUUCCUCACGCUGAACUGUUCAGUUUAAUUUGGAUCCCUUCAAUGAGCACAAUGAUGUUGAUCUUUGGGAAGCAUUAGAGAGAGCUCAUCUAAAAGAUGUGAUUCGAAGGAAUUCAUUGGGGCUCGAUGCAGAGGAAAUGUUAAAGGACGUUGUUAGGACAAAAACAUAUCAGAAUGUUAUUUAUUAGAAUUCAUUUCUAUUCAAGAACAAGGUCGUCCUUGAUGUGGGUGCAGGAACAGGAAUUUUGUUUCUGUUUUGUGCUAAAGCAGGGGCAAAACACGUAUAUGCAGUGGAAUGCUCUCAAAUGGCUGACAUGGCAAAAGAAAUAGUUCGAACAAAUGGAUAUUCUGAUGGUGACUAGUGAUUCUAUAUUUGAUGAUUGUACUCAGUUCCAUCUUACUUAUUUGUCAUAUUAUAUUUGUGUAAUUUAUGGAUACGGACUUGAUGUGUACAAUAUCUAUUAUCUUUUUACGUUGCAAGAAUAAUAUUUAUGUUUUGGUUA